GAUGAACGCUGGCGGCGUGCCUAAUACAUGCAAGUCGAGCGAACAGAUGAGGAGCUUGCUCCUCUGACGUUAGCGGCGGACGGGUGAGUAACACGUGGAUAACCUACCUAUAAGACUGGGAUAACUUCGGGAAACCGGAGCUAAUACCGGAUAAUAUAUUGAACCGCAUGGUUCAAUAGUGAAAGACGGUUUUGCUGUCACUUAUAGAUGGAUCCGCGCCGCAUUAGCUAGUUGGUAAGGUAACGGCUUACCAAGGCAACGAUGCGUAGCCGACCUGAGAGCGUGAUCGGCCACACUGGAACUGAGACACGGUCCAGACUCCUACGGGAGGCAGCAGUAGGGAAUCUUCCGCAAUGGGCGAAAGCCUGACGGAGCAACGCCGCGUGAGUGAUGAAGGUCUUCGGAUCGUAAAACUCUGUUAGUAGGGAAGAACAAAUGUGUAAGUAACUAUGCACGUCUUGACGGUACCUAAUCAGAAAGCCACGGCUAACUACGUG
rnacentral:rRNA from 1 species